AUAUGCUAGUAACCAUGCUAGAAUAACAGCCACAGUCUGCUAUGACCUGAAUUGAACCAGAAAAUGCAGAGUGAAGGCAGGGGGAACACGGCUCGGGGUCCUCUCUGGUCAGGCCUGGAGCCAGCGCUUGUAAACUGUGGACUAUCACCCACUGUUGAGAGGCCUCCUUUCGGCAGACUUCAGCACAGGGAUGUGGACUUGUUUCUAUGAAAGCCUGGAAUUCCUGUAGGGGUAGUGCCGUAAAACCGGAUCUUUACCUUCCUUAUUUAAAGGACUUUUUUGCGCAUAGACUGCCUGUCCUGGCCUCUCUCCCACUCUGGAAAGGAAGGGCUGAGAGAGAAAAACACACUGGAGAUGCUGUUUUGGAUGGAAACACACUCGCUGCCUGUUUCCCUGUGUGCCCAUGGUUCUUCUAGGUGCUGGGAAUAGACGAGUGAGAUGCAGACAAGGCCCCAGUCCUCACGGCACUUAUGUGCUAUGAGGAAACAAGGAAUGCACAUACCCCAUCGAGGAGGUGUCAGUCCAUCUUCAUGAGCCAAAAGGUGACAUGUGCCAAGGAAACAGGAAUAGAGCCUUGAGUGAAGCAUCAGACCAGUACAGCCGACCUGGUGGGCCUUGGUGCAAAGGGAAUGGAGCAAAGACUGGGAGGUAAUGAGGGGAUUCCCCAGGUGCUCCCCUGGGAGAAGAGAAUUCUGCCCACAGGCCCUGCCACCAGCGAGGGCCUUGCGUGCCGUGGAGUGGGAGGAACCACAAGGUGAGAAGGGUCUGAGGAUGUGGGCAUGGAGGCAUUGCAAGGACUUUGAAUUUACUCUGAGAGAUGAGUAGUCACUGGGAGGUUUGCAGCCCAGACAACCCACACGGUCAUUUCAGGAAGCUUGAGAGAGACUCAGUAUGUGGGGCAGCGGGCCCCCGUUUGUGGGGGCCACAGCGCAAACGCACCUGAGCCUGGAGCUGCUGGAACUCCUCUCUCUGCAGCCAGAGACCCAGGCUCACUCCUGGGCCUCCAUUCCGCCUGCUGGAUCAGCAAAAAUGAAAUGACUAAAUGGGCUGUUGGAUUUCAAAGAAUUACAGCCCCACUCCAGUCCUUGAGAGAGAAGCAGAGGCCCUGUUCCCCUGCGUCUGUGUGGCCUGCUGCAAAUAACGGGCUGGGUUUAUGGCGAGGGGACGGCUGGGCGGUUGCUUGUCUAGAAACGCACCAUGUGGUCCCUGCCUCCUCCUGAGCCUCAAUGGCCGCCUGGGACAUAGAUAGCCAGACAUCGCCAAUUUCCAGGUUCAAAAUUAUAUUCCCCCAACGUGAGUUAAUCUUCCCAUGAAAGGAAGAAAUACUUUUCACUUCAUGUUACUCUCUCUACUUUUUUUUUAAAGCAUCAGAUCUUUUAUCUCUAGUAUGACUAUGGAUGAAAUAUCACCAGCUUCAUAUUUCAAGAUAAUUUCCCUUCCAGCAAACAUUCCCCUAGGAAUAAAGACAUGUAGUGCCCACACUGCUGGGCUGCUUUUUCCGCCUCUGUCUAAACAAGGCCCUGUGUGUUCCAUCUGCUUGUCGGUUCCCAGUGUGCACUGGUCACUGCUGGGCUGAAAGGUCUCGCUUUUAGCUUCCUAGAUAGGCCAGCGAGGUUAAUAAGUUAAUAAAAUCCUAUUUAUCAGACUCCGGAGUCCAUUUCCUCUUCCCCGUGGCUCAUGGUUGUAAUUAUUCUUUAUGGACUCUCGGUGUUCCUUUAGAUCUGAUUUCCUCGCACUCCCCUCCCAUUUCCUGAAAGCCACGCCACAGAAGGAGAGAGUGGUCUUUUCUCUGGAAAGAUGUCUGUUACUCAUUUCCACCUUGGUGUCACGAAAGCUAGUCUGAAGGGAUACGUUUAAAUAUUUAAAAUUUUAAGAUGCAUGUGGAACAGCCUGGGUUGCUUCUCCUCCUGAGCAGAUUAGGUUAGAAAGACCUGGGGGCCCCUGGAUAACCCGGCGUAGCUGUCCAGGAGUGCAGAGAUUGGGAACCAGAUCCUGGGCUCUUGGCAGCUUCAGCUUUAUCUGGAAAAUUGGAGCCAUCAUUUCGACCAUGCUCACAUAUGAAGAUAAAUGACAAUAGCUUGCGUGAAAGUGUUUUUGAAAACAACAAUAACAACAAAACACAGAAAAAGAAGGCAUGAUCUUGGCUGCUUUUGAUGUGACUGUUUCCCUUAGCAGGGUGCCAGGGAUAUGGGGAAUUUAGGCCAAAUUAGCCGGAGCUUCUCUUAUUAGCGAAGAUUCGCUUAUCAGGUUCCCUGCUGUCAGCUUGGAAGACCCAGAGUCUGACCCCGAAUAAUGAAAUAGAGGACAAAUGAAGAUUCUGUCUCUGAGCAGGACUCGGGAUGGGGAGCAGUGGGCCCCAGCUGGAGGGGCGCAGGUCAGGCUGUAGGGCCCCUGGAGCUGGCUCCCUGGCUUGAGAGAAAGGGCCACAGUCACCUUCGCCUGCCCAGGCCCAGUCGUCUUUCUCGGGAGUGGCGGAAUGUAGCUUUCUACCCUACGGGCUCCUGCGCCUCACAGUGCUGGCUUUGGGUUUCUUCUGGGUCUCUGUGCUAACUUAGGCUCCGACGUUUCUAACUUUGGCCAAGAAGGUUUUGUAUACGAAUUUAUAGUGUACUGUAUAUGUGUGUGUGUGUGUGUGUGUGUACGCGUGCACACCAGCACAUGCACUUUUUAAAACAACUAGGAAUCUUCUCAGCAAACACUAUUCCUUGUCUACUCCCUUCUCUUGAAGAUGGUCACUGAGUGGCUACGGAGACACAAACUUGGAGGAAAGCACCCUGGCCUUGCCAACAGUGGAGAGUGCCCCAGGGCCAACCCCGAUGAAUCUCUGCCAGAUGAGGUGCAGAAGGGGAUGGGGCAAAGGAAGCAGAUACUCCCCCACGUGACUUCCCCACAGGAGCCACUUAACCAGAGGAAGACAGUGAUAUGGUUUGGCUGUGUCCCACCCAAAUCUCAUCUUGAACUGUAGUUCUCGUAAUCCCCAUGUGCUGUGGGAGCAACACGGUGGGAGGUAAUUGAAUCACGGGGGUGGUUACCUCCAUGCUGUUCUGGUGAUAGUGAGUGAGUUCUCACGAGAUCUGAUGGUUUUAUAAGGGACUUUUCCCCUUUUGCUCAGCACUUUUCCUUGCUGCCGCUAUGUGAAGAAGGAUGUGUUUGCUUCCCCUUCCUCCAUGAUUAUAAGUUUCCUGAGGCCUGCCCAGCCCUGCAGAACUGUGAGUCAGUUAAACUUUCUUUAUAAAUUACCCAGUCUCAGAUAUGUCUUUACUGGCAAUGUGAGAACGGACUAAUACAGAUGGGCAGAGAAAGGUCUCCGUGCCAGCAUCUAACCUGGUGAUCAAGGAUGGAAAGAAGAGUGGGGCCACACCAUGUAGAGACUCCUCUGAGCCAAUUUCACUUGAGGGCCUUGGCCUACAAGCCAAACAAACAAACAAACACAUAAACAAACAGGGGGGCUAUGGCUGCCAAAAUACACAGAGGCACAGCCCCCAGGUGGCCCCCAGCUUCCUUGCCCCCACAUCCUGAACACCCCUCUGCACAGUAACAAGCUGGCAGAGAAAAACUACAAGCAAUUUAAAAUUUCUUCCCUUUCCUCUAUCUGACCUUCAGAGAACUAGUCUGAGAUCUACGACAACUUCAGAAUCCAUCUCUGCCCAACCCUGGACAGGCACAGACUUCCCUCUGCAAGAAUAUAAAAGCAAGCACAUAAACCACAACCAACUAGGCAUCUGAAUCUAUUAAUUAAUUCAACAUCCAUUGAAUAAGUCAAAAGAGGAAGAUAAUAUGAUCAAUUAAUAAAUGCCAAAGAGCUCCUUGGCUAAAAUCCAACCUAUCUUAAUUAAUUUCACCUACACAUGCACUAAACAAACAAUCCAUGUGAUAUGAGAUUCUGUUGCAGUUCUCUAAUGUGGUUCUUAAAAAAUCUCAAAACAAAAAUCAUUGUCAUGCUUCACUGUGACACAAUAAAGCCAUUCAAAUUAAAGUCAAGACAAUGAAAAGGAUGCCUAUGUUCACUGUUGUUAUUUAAUAUGGUUUUGGAAAUACCAGCCAAUGCAAUUAGAUAAGAGAUCAUUUGAAGAUGGCAUUAGUGUGUGUCUAGAAACACAAAGUAAAUCAAGCGAAAACAUUAUUAGAAUCAAUAGGAGAAUUCAGUUAGGUGGUCUUAAAAUUACUAUGCAAAAUCAAUAGCUUUCCUUUAUCUGAAAAAAUAAACAUUUAGAAAGUGUAACAGAAGGAGCAUACCCAUCUGAAUGGCAAUAACAUUUGAAUAGCCAGUAAUAAACUUUAUAAAACAACUGCAGGACCAAUGUGAGGGAAAUAUUGUAUUCUGCUGAGAGACAUAAACCCUAUGAGGAGUAUUUUCUGUAAGUAAAUGAGAUAACUUCUUGUCCUCGGAAGGGGAGGCUCAACUGUGUAAAGAAAUAAAUUACCCUAAAUUAGACUAUAUAUUUAGUCUAUGGUCUAAAUAUAGGCCUGUGCUGCCCGGUUAUUAAAAUGUUGAGUUAUUCCAGAAAGUCAGAGCACUUUGCACCGGAGCAUGAAUAGAUAGGAUUGUUGAGCUGAAUACACGGGACAGAAAUGACUGAAAUACCUGUGGGACGCCAGUGCUCUCCGCAUAAUGAAGCUGACAUGUUAAGGCAAAGGGGAAGUCCUGGAAAACUGACAAGUUUCAGUCUUUGGGGGGAAAGCAAGUUACAGAGCAGUAUGUAGAGUGUGAUACCGUUGUGUACAGAGAACAGCUGCAGAUUAACAUUUUUCUAGGAGAAUAGAUGGGAAAAUGAUGAUAAUUAUUAAAUCUUUGCUGGGGAGAUUGGGAGCGGGAAGGAGUUUUCACUUUACUAAGUUUGGGGGAAAUGACUUCAGUGUUUUGAAAACAAAGUGAUAUACAUCUUCAUAUAGAUGAUCCAAACGAUUACUUUAAAAAAAUAAAAUUGGUUGAGCAUAAUUUUAGAAAUGUCAUGAUAGAUAGACCAAUAUACUUACAGAUGGAUAGAAGUAAUUUUAUAAAAACUGGAUCAUAUGAUAAGUAUUUGUCAAAAAUGCAUCAAAUUUAAUUUUAAGGAACUGCUGUAUUUCAAACAAAUGCUUCUUUGCUCCCUCACUAUGAGAAAACCAAUUGGAUUCUAAAAGACCCCUAGAACAUUAGAAAGGCGGGGGGAAGUAGAAUAAACAAUGAAUAGGUUAGAAUGACAGCACUGUUUCAGUUGCAUGUUGGAACUUGUCACAGUGCCUGUUAAUUUGCUGCUACGAAAGAUGAUGAAAUGGGUGCACCCACCCUCCAUCCCCCUGGGUCUCACCUACCCACCAGGUUUUAGUAGCUGCAUUAUUACUGGUUCAUUUUAAAGUUGUAUAAUCUCUACGAUGCGUUCUGCAGCAAAAAUUCCCAGAACAGCCUCGUCCUGACUCUCCGUUAAAUAUAUGCGGUGUUUGCCAAGAGUUAAUAUUUCAUGACUUUCCCGUUCUUGAGUUGCUUAUUUGGAUUCAUCAUUUGGUUAGCAGGGCUUUGCACCAGCAGCUCAUGGAUGCUGCAGCUUCUAAGUCUACUUGUGUUUGAGAGUGUCUACAUGUUGCCUUUGCUUUUGGAGAGCGAUGUGAUUGCAUGAAAAGAAUUGGUAAUGCUUUCCUUUUCCUUGACAAACUUGUAGGCCUCCAGCCAUGGAAGUGUUCUAGUGGGGAAGGAGGAAGCCACCAUGAAUAUCUCCCUUAGAAGAACACUACUGUGGCCAGGGACACUUAUGCAAUUCCCAUAAGGUUCUUUGUUGUUAUAUGAACUGCAUUUUACACACACACACACACACACACACACACACACACACACACAAACAACUGCCUAGCAGCACAUUGUAAAGGCUGUAUAAUGUGACUAUUAUCAUCCUUGUUUUCUUUAUUCCUGAAAUCUAAUUAAAUAACUUCAGUGGGUUAUGUCUGUUGAUCUCUCAGCAUUGACUUUUCCUGAAACAUGAUGUCUAUUUCAUAUACAGAUUCAGGGCUAUUUUUAUGUCAGGUAAGCUUUAAGAAAAAAUCUUUGAAUGUUUUAACGUGUGUUCUAUUCUUUUAUUAUAAUUAUCCCUGUUCUUGUCUGUUUUCAUUUUGUACAAAUCUUCAAGCCUAUCUACCAUGUCCUUGGCAGUAUCCUCUUCAGUGGUUAUUCUUUUUUGUUCUAGUAUGUUUUACAUUUCUUCUAGUAUGACUUUUAAUUUAUUUUAAUUACUUUGUUAAUUUGAAGGAAUUAUGCAUAUAAUAAAUGCACAUAAUAAAAACAAAUUCAAUUAAUUCCAAGGUAUAUACAGAAAAAGUUAAGUUUCUCUCUCAUUGUAGACACCCAGAUCCUCAGUCUGUCAUUUCCAGAUUAAGUGUAUUCUUCCAGAAUGUUCUUCACAAAUGGCAGUAUCAUCUACACAAGAAGAAGCAUAACAGUUGGAAACUUUUUUUCAUGUCAUUACUUAUAAUUUAUUGUUUUUCACGGUUGCAUAGUUUUUUGGAUACAAAUACUUUAGUUAUGAACAUGUAGUUUUUUUCACUU
rnacentral:lncRNA from 1 species